rnacentral:rRNA from 1 species
GUCUACGGCCAUGUUAUCCUGAACAUGCUUGACCUCGUCUGAUCUUGGAAGCUAAGCAGGGUAGGGCCUGGUUAGUACUUGGAUGGGAGACCACCUAGGAAGAUCAGGUGCUGUAGGCG